UCUGAUUUGCAGCGGCGAAAAAACAAAAUCCGAGAGAGGACAACACAGACGACGAAGAUCAAAUGCAAAGCUCCGAAGCUAAACCCGAGAUUCCGCUAAACGUUCAUGUAAAAUACCAACGGAGACGCGAUUGGAAAUGAGACGGAUUUUGAUUCGCCCGGAAAACAAGAGAAGAACAAAAUUCACGGCGAGACUGAGAAAUUUAGACGGGAAAAGAGAGGAACACGUGUAGGGUGGAUUGAGUUGCGUUGAGAGAGAGGCAGAAGAUGAU